rnacentral:lncRNA from 1 species
UUUUUUUUCCUUUUUUUUUUUUUUUCUUUUUGCUUAGGAAACUUACCUUCUCUAAUUAGCAUGUGCCUAAUCUUAAAUAUCUCUUUCCCAAUCUCCUUUCUUCUUUAACAGUUGGCAUCAGGGCUAGUACCAUUAAACGUAUGUAUAUAGUAUACUUUCACAGAUGUGUGGACACAGUCACACACAUACAUAUGCACACACUGCCUUGUGGUCCUCAAUCAAAGCUCUCUUAAACACCAUGACCCCUUUCUAAAAAGGAUGCUAUUUGCAAAUUCACUGGUCCUCCUGCUCAUCUGCAUUGGUUUAUUUUUGCCAGGCAGACAGAAUGAGGUUCAGAGAUAGGGCAGGGAAUGGGGAGUAGUUUUGCAUACAUGAUUGAGUGCUUUAGUGUCAGAGUGAUUGAGGGCCAGCUAUUAAAAUGCUGUUGUUGUAGUUGUUGUAGUUGUUGUUGUUUCAUUUGUUUAAUUGCCUUAGAGAUGCGCUCCUGGUCAUUAGCAUCAGGAUAAUUGUUGAUGCACCAACAUUUGUUAACUUUAUCCCUAGGAAGAGUGUUGAUCUGAGAUGCUUCCAUAGCACUUUAUAGGAGCAGAGAGUGGCAUGGUGUCUAACAUGUCACUCAGGUGAUGCUCCGAAGCACACAAGUGUCAUCUGUGUAUCCCCUCCCACCCAUGUUCCAAACCACACUUCUUUUCUGGCAUUUAUGUUUACAGUGAGGUGGGACACACUAGGCCCAUUUUGUAGAUGCAAAGAUUGAGCUGGGAUCACAAGGGAGGUUGUUUUGGAAUUACAUUUUCAUAGAAAAAUCCAGUCAUUGUUCUCAAUGCUUCUGAGGAGUCUUCAAACAGUGCCCGCAGCUUGAUUUCUGAGAAUAAUUCUCUUGGUAUUGUCAAGCUGAUGGUCAAAAGCCUCAUAACAUAGAGGUUACUAGAGCUAGGGAUACAGCUCAACUAGUAGAGUGUUUGCACAGCACACGUGUAGUCUGGGUUGCAUCCCCAGCAUGGCAAGCAUAAACCAGGUGUGCUAGCACAUGCCUGUGAUUCUGGAACUCGGGAAGCAGAGGCAGGAGGAUUAUGAGUUCAAGGUUAUGCCCAGGCAAUAUUGUGAGUUGGAGGCCUACAAGAGACCUAGUCUUGAAAAACUAAAACAAACCACAGAGGUCAUUAUUAUAUAAUAGCUAUUCUGAGACUAUGUGUUUCUGCAAGAGGCGAGGAGACUCCCAGGGAUGCUGAACUAUGCAGAAAGUGGAGUGCCUCAAUCAACAGGGCCAGGAGCUUCACCUCUUUGGAGCUGUAUUUCAAAGCACACAAAUCUCCUGUGAACCAGAACCAAACUAUUCACAAUGGACUCCUUCCUCAGAUUAACUUCCCAAAUAAGGCAUCAGCAGGCUUCAGGAAGAAGCAAGACAGAAGCAAUCACCCCUCACCAGCUCCUUUUAGAUAUCAUAUCAGCAGAUCGAUGAGUCUGCAUUUUUACAAUGCUAGAUCAUUUCUCAUCUCCUGUAGCCCUGGGUCAUGGCCUCUUCCACUUAAUUCUCUUUCACACCUUUGGGAAGGAUUGAAAAUGAACCUUCAAAAGGAUAUUAGCAUAACACCUAGCCAAUACCACAGAUGCCUUUUAAAUUAAUAAGGUUAAUUGUUCUCCAGCUAACAUAAGUUUGUCUUUGGCAUUUUCAAUAUUUCUCAUUGAUCUGACAUUUUUCUGUUUCAAGCUUUUAAAGGGCUCCAAUCAAAGACUAUUGAUAACAGAGCAAAUAGCGAAGGUUCAGAAAUGUACUAAUACAUUGUCUGUUUUUCCAUGAGAAACAAUUACAAACUUUGAAUUCAUUGACGGUUUUUCAUAUUAGCCAUGUAUAAUACAUUGAAUUGUUUCUCUUCCCAGUCAGGCUAAUUCUAAUGAACAAACAGUAUUGACUUUUAAAACCUGUUUUCCUUUUUAAAGUAUCUUAAAUGUAUUAAGUCUGUAGACACAGCUCUGAGGCCGCGGCCAUUAGGGAAGAACCCCAUGUCAGAACAGAAGAAUCAGACAGGGUUUUGUGGCUCAUCUGAGCAAUCAUCUUUGGAAAUUUGAUGGAUUUGGAAAGCUCAAACUGACAACUCUAACAUUCACAUUACCCUGAUAUUUUCACUGGGUAGGAUGUAAAUGAAUAAAAAUUUUUAAAGAAGAUAUUAAGUCAGGGUUAUGUAGGAAACAUGGUUGUUGUAAAACACAAAAAGAAAUGUGGCUCGGAUGCUUCCCAAGCCUGAGGGUCCCCAAAGAUGUUUUUAUGGUUGUCUUCAGAGUAUGAAUGUUAGCCUUGUUCAUUCCCCUGAUAAGACAUAUUAAUCGGUAGAAUUCAUCAUAGUUUAUAUGGUCCUGGGACAUUUGUGUAUGUGUGCUUAUUAUAUUUUGAACUGAAUAUCAGACAGAAUUAGGUGAGUUAAUUGGUGGCUUGAAUAAGAAAUAGGUCACAAAAGUCAUAAAUAAUGUUCUUCUCAAACAGUAAAAGAAGGUAAACUAUUCAUUUUCUAGCCAUGCUUUAAGACUCAAAUUAUGUACAAGCUACCCAUUGCCCACAGGAGAGUUAUUGAAUUAGAUAGCUUAUUCAUAAAGGGUUUCCAUAUGAGUCCAUCUUUAACCCAGUGUGAAUGGGAUUGAACUCAUGCAGAGGGCUUCCAUCCACAACUACAUUAAUCUGCAUCUAAAACUCACGUUAGGACUGCCUUGACGCCGUGUACGAUGGAUCCAAGGAUAGCUGUGUGCUCCAUCAGUGGUCCUCAUUUGGGAGUAGAUAUUCACCUCCAUGUCACAGCAGUUUAUACUGUCAUGUCUGAUCCGCUGCAUGAGGAAGUGCUAAUGACUGUAUUAACUAUUUCCAAGCAUAGCUACAAAACUACACGUUUGCUUAACACCUUUCGAUGAUAGAGGAAGUAUAUACUAUGGUUGUCUUCUUGUAGUAUGUCUUUUUAAUUUUGUUCAAUGUGAUAUCAACUGUUUUAAGGAAUGGGAUUUGACAUGUGUGUGCAAACUGAUAUGUACAUAACUCCCGGGGCAACACAAGUGCCCAUCAUACAGUGUAAAAAAUGUAAAUAGAGGAAAUUUCAUUUUUCUAAUAAAGAUAAUUUCUGCCACU